GACGAACGCUGGCGGCGUGCCUAAUACAUGCAAGUAGAACGCUGAAGGAGGAGCUUGCUUCUCUGGAUGAGUUGCGAACGGGUGAGUAACGCGUAGGUAACCUGCCUGGUAGCGGGGGAUAACUAUUGGAAACGAUAGCUAAUACCGCAUAAUAGUAGAUGUUGCAUGACAUUUACUUAAAAGGUGCAAUUGCAUCACUACCAGAUGGACCUGCGUUGUAUUAGCUAGUUGGUGGGGUAACGGCUCACCAAGGCGACGAUACAUAGCCGACCUGAGAGGGGGAUCGGCCACCCUGGGACUGAGACACGGCCCAGACUCCUACGGGAGGCAGCAGUAGGGAAUCUUCGGCAAUGGACGAAAGUCUGACCGAGCAACGCCGCGUGAGUGAAGAAGGUUUUCGGAUCGUAAAGCUCUGUUGUAAGAGAAGAACGAGUGUGAGAGUGGAAAGUUCACACUGUGACGGUAUCUUACCAGAAAGGGACGGCUAACUACGUG
rnacentral:rRNA from 1 species